rnacentral:tRNA from 1 species
GGAGCCCUGGUUAAAUGGUUAAGCUCUUGGCUGCUAACCAAAAAGUUGGUGGUUCAAACCCACCAGCCACUC